GACGCCGUAGCCGAGAGGUCUCAGGCGACGGUCUGCAAAACCGUUCCACGUGGGUUCGACUCCCACCGGCGUCU
rnacentral:tRNA from 1 species